UACGUAGGGGGCAAGCGUUGUCCGGAAUCAUUGGGCGUAAAGAGCGUGUAGGCGGCUCGGUAAGUCCGCUGUGAAAGUCCAGGGCUCAACCCUGGAAUGCCGGUGGAAACUGUCGAGCUAGAGUCCGGAAGAGGCGAGUGGAAUUCCUGGUGUAGCGGUGAAAUGCGCAGAUAUCAGGAGGAACACCGGUGGUGUAGACGGCUUUCUGGACCGUAACUGACGCUGAGACACGAAAGCGUGGGUAGCAAACAG
rnacentral:rRNA from 1 species